GUGUGCUGUGUGUGCAGUAACAGUACUACAGCUGCCUAUACUGGCUUAGACAAAAUCAUUGAUUUAUCCUAGUUGUAUUAAUGUUUCAUGUGAACAAACAUUACGAUGGACAGAAAGGCUAUAAAAGCACGUAAAAUUUUAAAAAAGGAGCUUAAGAAGGCUGUGACAAAGGAAGAACUAUCACAAUUUGAUAAAGAUGUAUUAAUUGAUAGAAUAAUAGCACUAGAUACAGAGAAUACACAUUUAAAGAAUAUUAUUACUAAAAGAACGGAAAAUAAGGCGAACCUUUUAAAACCGGUAAUCAGAAAAGAAUUCGACUAUUCAAAGUGUCAUUACCGUAAGAUAUUACUACGAAUAAGCUACCUCGGUUGGGAUUAUAAAGGCUUUGUCGUCCAGGAUGACACGACUGAAACCAUCGAGCACCACCUGUUCCAUGCGCUGAUCAAGUCUCGUCUGAUCGAGUCGAGGGAGAAGGCGGAGUAUAAUCGAUGCGGACGUACAGACAAAGGCGUCAGUUCAUAUGGACAGGUCAUAUCAAUAAAGGUCCGUAGCAGAUAUCCACUAGCAGAACAAAAUCUUUCCAGCGCUAUAGCCAUUGAGUUGCCAUACUGUAGGAUGUUGAACCGGUUAUUGCCUAGGGAAAUCAGGGCUGUUAGCUGGUUGCCCCUCCCCGAAGACAAGAUUGAUAUGAGCGCCAGGUUCGAUUGCAAGCGACGUCAGUAUAAAUAUUAUUUUCCGAGGUCGUCUCUCAACCUGCAAGCGAUGGGCGAGGCGUGCACGCACCUAGUCGGCACGCACGACUUCCGCAAUUUCUGCAAGAUGGACGUCGGUAACGGGGUCACGGUGCACAUCCGGCAAAUAUUCAGCGCUUAUAUUGCUCCGGUUAGUGAGAAGGACAUUGAUGGACUAACAUCAAUGUUCGUGUGCAUAAUAGAGGGCAACGCGUUCCUCUGGCAUCAGAUAAGAUGCGUAAUGGGUGUCAUAUUGCUAGUGGGGCAAGGCUUAGAAUCGCCUGACAUCAUGAAAUAUCUCCUAAAUGUUGAGGAGAAUCCACGAAAACCUCAAUACAAUUUAGCUCUGGACGUACCUCUGAACCUUAAUAAGUGUGUCUAUGAUAUCGAUGACCUCUGGAUUUAUGAUCCGUUGGAGCUGAAGAAUAUCAUUUCAACCAUGCAAAAACUAUGGACGGAACACAGUGUCAAAACAACACUUAUAAAGGACUUCCUUCAAAACCUGGAAGCUUUAUAUAAUACUUUUAUCGGGCAACCAUCUGGUGACUCAGUGAUUGGGAAGAGUGAUCAAACAAUCGCAGUACAUACAGACGUCCUGCUUCAAGGGCCUAAGCCUAAGAUAUACAAGCCGUUGAAAAAGAGGCAACAGUGCUCAAGCCUAGAAGAAAGAAUCGAAUAUUAUGAGAAGAAAAAAGCAAGGAAAUCAGAUGAAGAUGUUGAAAUGAAGACGUAAAUGCAUAAUUUUAACCGCAAAAUCUUUGUCUGUAUGUACCAAUGUCAUGGCGGUUUUGAAGUCGACGGACAGCGCCAUCUAGUGACAACAUAUUUGCAAAGAGUCCAAGCGCAACGACGGCUAGUACAGUUGGAAGACUGUUCUGCACUAGCCGCCCCGCCUUUUUGUCUAGCCCGCAAGAUGCCUCUUCACGCCUCGUUUGAAGGAACCCAGGUUGUAACACGUAUGCUGGUAACGAAUUCCAUUUUUUGAUCCUUUUUUUUCUGUGGAAACACUGUAAAUAAAUGUCAUAUAAACUUCCCAAUGAAUUCAAAAAUAAUAAUUUAAAUUAAUUGUAACUAAAAUUUAACGCUAAUAUCAUUGUACAAGAUUAUAUAAGAACUGUAUAUUAAUUUACUGAGUGUAUUGUUUUAUGGUGUAUAGUGUUUUUACUGGUGUUGUGUUCGUCAGCUCACAUUACGCUGGCAACGAAAUCAAAUUUAAAAAAAAGUUCCCUUGUUCAACCUCUUGUUAUCCCUUCAAUUCGCUAUUGUAUUUAUCAUAAAUACAUUUUUAAAAUACUUAAAUUACAUUUGCCAGUGAUACUUCUAUCUUUUAUAUAAUUUAUUUUUUAUAAAACUCCUUAAAGUAAUAAAUAUCCCUAUUAAGCAUGAUGACCCGCAGUACCAAGGCGCGUCAGGCGGUGGAACCAGCUGACGCUUCAGGAACUAAAGGCGUCUAGAACACAAUGUGACCAAUUGUUAAAAGAAAGGGAUGACAAUGAACAAGAGCUUUUGCAGAUUAUCAACAAAACAAAGAGUUAAAAACUCUCAAAGUUACAUAAAUACAUAUUUAGAUAUGGAAGAACAAAGAGGUAAUCUGCAACAAAUAGUCAACGGGUUGGACAAUUGCAGAGAUGAGUAUGACCGAGCCCUCAUGCUCACGGAUGAAAUAAAAAAUAAGCUUCACAAGGCCCGACAAUACAUAUUACAAUUAGAAAAUAAUACUCACAAUCUGAAGUUCUCUCAAACUGACUGUCUAUUAAUGAACUAGUUAGAAAUGCACCAUCUCUAGUGUCCCCGGUCAUCAACAAUUAUUACAAUUCAACAAUAGAUCUAACUGGUGAUGACAUGGGGACAGUGCCUAUUAUUGAGUAAAAAUAAACUUAAAAAAUAUGUUAAAAUUAAUAGAUAUUUAAAAAAAAUCACUCAGGAUUAUGUUCUAAAGAUCAUCCAAAUUUGCUCAGUCAUUUAAAAGUUAUGAUGGAAUAAAGAAAUAUACAUACAUGAACCCUAAAGACAUAACACUCCUUUUUGGACAGUCGUGUGAGAACAGCUGUAUAUACAGACAUACCAACAAAUUUUAUUAUAUGUAUAACUUA